rnacentral:pre_miRNA from 1 species
AGCGAGGUAUAGAGUUCCUAUGCGUUCGGAUAAAAUAUUCCAUAGGAACUUCAUACCGUGCUCU